AGCGCAGAACGGUGCGGGAGACUGACAGAAGACCUCGCGCUCCAUGGAAAAGGUGAAUCGCUUUCAAUGAGAAGGCACUAGGAACAGUGUUAAUUCCGUGUUUGCUGAUGUGGUGUUGAAUCAUUCGUGAGGUGCAUUCUGUUGGUAUAUGGCCAACAAAUAGCACUCAUCAUAUGCACACUAGUGGACUAUGGCACAUCGUAUGGGUACAGUCGCACCAACCGAGCUAUAGAGGCUGUGGUAAAUCAGAAGCUGCAACAAGGCUGCCUGAGGAAGUACCCAAGAAUCCGAAGGAUGAAAUAAGAGUGCUGCAGUUAAAAUUCACAAAAAGAUUUUAUGGAGCGACGCAAGAAACUAAAGCAUGAAAUUAUGUGCGAAAAUAGCUCUUCGUCGCAGCGGUGAAAAAUGCUUUGGCGUUGGUUUUGAUAACGGAAAAAGAUGAUAAAUCGCUGGCUUCUAGUGGCCUUUGCAAAUACGCGAAGGUGGUUGCUUGCGCUUUUUGCUGUGGGGGCAAUUACGCUAGUGUUGAACCAGAUAUGGAUACCGCCAAGUGCUGUGCGACCAAGGACCCUCCGCCCUGAUUUCCUCCGAAAUGGAAAUCAUCAUGGACCUCGUUCCAACGAGCAGCUGCGGUGGCAAGAAUGUCAGAAAGUGCUCUCCAUCAGCAGAAAUCACUUCUCUUGGGAGGAGGGUGGCAGACACGGGUGCUGCAAGAAGACGCACAGGUCCGUGGAAGAAUUACUGGAGGGGAUGAAAACCCUUCAGCGCUCACGGACGGGAGAUAAGGACGUCAAUAUAGUUUUCAUAGGAGACAGCAGAAUAAGGAUUCUUCAAGAAACCAUGAUGAAGAAACUAAAACUAAAACCAGACAACCCUGCCAAGGUUCCCAUCUUCUACAAACCGAUCUUUUACUCUGAGGAAGAGCUUCGACAUGCGGUACCCCCUCAGGAGAAGCAACCAGGUCUGCAACCCGGCUGUCUUGAAGCAAACGUAAUAGCUUUAGACCCAAGUAAAAUUCGAUGUACUCUGGGCGCCAGCGGUGACUCUUUCCGUAGCGAGUUCUGGUGGCGACCCUAUCUUCAGGAGCGCUUCCGCGAGCGUCUGGACUGGCUUUUAGCCGAGUGUGAGGCAGGACAGUGUCCUGACGUGGUCGUACUCAACAGUGGUCCAUGGUACGCCCGCAUUAAGCGAUUUCCCGGCGAUCUCGCCACGACCAGGGCGAUACAGUUCAUCGCCGAUCUGGCAACACAGAAAUCCAAAAUCGCGCGGCUGGCUUCCUCGACCAGAGUGCUGUGGAAAAUCGACGAGCCAUACAUGCCUGAGGCCGUGUACGAGCACAAAAUGAACAUGACGAGAGCUAUGAUGGUGCUGUCGUCCGUGGUGUACGAGGCGGCGGCCCGCAUUCCCCAGUUUUCCGUGUGGUCGAGUGGCAUGGUUGAAGCGACGCAGUUUUAUCAUGGCGUUUGUGUAGCACAUCGCAAACUGCUCAAACGAUCACUGCAUGAUCCAGUGAGGUAUGAGUGUUUGGAUCCCAUGCAUGUGGGGGAAACAGUCCGCUGGAAGAUGCUCCAGUCACUCUUUGAUGUGUUGUUACUCAACGUAACGUCGCCCACUCAAGGUCUAUGUUGUGGGUCGUAAAAUGUAAUAGUUCGGUCAAAAA